rnacentral:rRNA from 1 species
GACAGAGGAUGCAAGCGUUAUCCGGAAUGAUUGGGCGUAAAGCGUCUGUAGGUGGCUUUUUAAGUCGGGGGUGAAAUCCUGGAGCUCAACUCCAGAACUGCCUUCGAUACUGGAGAGCUUGAGUCCGGGAGAGGUGAGUGGAACUGCGAGUGUAGAGGUGAAAUCGUAGAUAUUGCAAGAACACCGGUGGCGAAGGCGGCAACCUGGUCCUUGACUGACGCUGAGGCGCGAAAGCGUGGGGAGCGAACAGG